ensembl:lncRNA
GUAAAUUGUCAUGAUGUGGGUGUUGUUUUCAUGUAUGCUCUCGACUAUGUAGCUAAAUAAAAAAAUCUGGUCAAAUUCUGUCUUGUUCUUAAUACUGAUACUUAUUAUCCUUUCCCAGUCAGUUCAUGAUGAGGAUGAUGACGAAACUCCAGAUCUGGCUGAAAGCGUUGCUCCAUCCUCGGCAUCCCGUACAACACAACCAGGAUCCGGCCAGGAGACCCAGACGUCAGCCUCAGCCCCCCAGCCAGAGAACGGCUCCCCUAAGCCAAAGAAAUCGCACCGGUCCCCGGCCCAGGAGAAGCGCUCAGAGACACAGCCUGGGUACCAACCGCCUGAGGCCGGAGGUCCGGCAAAAAUUGCCAAGAGCAUCCCUGUCACGGAAGAACCUGCUGCCCCGUCAGCUUCUUCAGCACUGGGUAGUCCUGGCCCAAAUACUCUCCCCUCCACCUCCACAGCUCCUCACCUGUUCCUGUUUGAGCAUGAGUCUCAACAGGUGGAGGAAGAUGAGGCAUCCCAGCCUCUUACCCAGCUCCAGCUUGACCAGGCCAAGCAGCAUCUCCUCAGCCUGAUUAAGGACUCGAAACUGGGGCUUGUCGACAUCACCAAGGCCCUUCUGAAAAACAGUGGAGUCGUCUCUGCUGCUUUGCAAGACCCACUGAUUUUGCCCAAUCCAGUGGACGGGGCUUGGCAGGGCCCUCGAUGGGAACGUUGUGAUGACCGCCUGCUGCUUUCCGGUGACACUUCGGAACUGCAAAAGAAGUUUGGAGAAAGGGGGAUUGCCAGGAGGUUGGCUUUCCUUGACGCAGACUGACACUGCUGGUUCAUUUUGGCCCGUUGUUUUGUCACGUCGUGGGGUGGAUUUUGUAUAAUCUCUUUAUUUAAUCUCUUUGUAAUUAUAUGAUCUGUCUUCUUUAUGUUCAUUAGCUGCAAGGCAACACUCACAUUUGCACCUCUGGGCCAGCAUAACCCACAACAAGCCUCGAGUGGUUGAUUUGUACGUGACCAUUUGUCGUUUAAUUUCGUUGCUGUGACGUACUGGAUGCUGUGUAAUGUGUUAUGAAUAAGAGAUUGAAGUAUACUGCUUUUAACAGACUGACUGCCUGAACUUGAUCCACAACAGGUUCAUCCAUUUUUAACCAUUUAUCGUUCUUGCCUGUGGCAUGAACAGUUUUCCAAGACUGUGCUUCAUUAAUUUUGUGCCAA